CAUCUGGCAUCUGCUCCAGACUGACUGUUAUUGGCAUGGUUCCUACUGCUUUAUGCCCUUCCUAAUACCAGCCACUUUACAGUGUGUACUGAGUGCAUUUCUCAUGGCACCAGCAUUAGUGAGGUCACUGUGCAGCCUGCAA